rnacentral:rRNA from 1 species
AGUGAACGCUGGCGGUAGGCCUAACACAUGCAAGUCGAACGGCAGCACAGUAAGAGCUUGCUCUUACGGGUGGCGAGUGGCGGACGGGUGAGGAAUACAUCGGAAUCUACUUUUUCGUGGGGGAUAACGUAGGGAAACUUACGCUAAUACCGCAUACGACCUACGGGUGAAAGCAGGGGAUCUUCGGACCUUGCGCGAUUGAAUGAGCCGAUGUCGGAUUAGCUAGUUGGCGGGGUAAAGGCCCACCAAGGCGACGAUCCGUAGCUGGUCUGAGAGGAUGAUCAGCCACACUGGAACUGAGACACGGUCCAGACUCCUACGGGAGGCAGCAGUGGGGAAUAUUGGACAAUGGGCGCAAGCCUGAUCCAGCCAUACCGCGUGGAUGAAGAAGGCCUUCGGGUUGUAAAGCCCUUUUGUUGGGAAAGAAAAGCAGCAGGUUAAUACCCCGCUGUUCUGACGGUACCCAAGGAAUAAGCACCGGCUAACUUCGUG